UCCAGAUUGGUGUAGGGGUUAACAUCGUCCGCUUUCACUCUCAUUUGUGGGUUUCCGGACAGCCCCGGGUUCGAUUCCCGGAUCUGGAA
rnacentral:tRNA from 1 species